UGUUUGAUGUUCUAACGUUGGCCCCUGAUCGGGGUUGCGGACAGUGUCUGGUGGGUAGUUUGACUGGGGCGGUCUCCUCCUAAAGAGUAACGGAGGAGCACGAAGGUUGGCUAAUCCUGGUCGGACAUCAGGAGGUUAGUGCAAUGGCAUAAGCCAGCUUGACUGCGAGCGUGACGGCGCGAGCAGGUGCGAAAGCAGGUCAUAGUGAUCCGGUGGUUCUGAAUGGAAGGGCCAUCGCUCAACGGAUAAAAGGUACUCCGGGGAUAACAGGCUGAUACCGCCCAAGAGUUCAUAUCGACGGCGGUGUUUGGCACCUCGAUGUCGGCUCAUCACAUCCUGGGGCUGAAGUAGGUCCCAAGGGUAUGGCUGUUCGCCAUUUAAAGUGGUACGCGAGCUGGGUUUAGAACGUCGUGAGACAGUUCGGUCCCUAUCUGCCGUGGGCGCUGGAGAACUGAGGGGGGCUGCUCCUAGUACGAGAGGACCGGAGUGGACGCAUCACUGGUGUUCGGGUUGUCAUGCCAAUGGCACUGCCCGGUAGCUAAAUGCGGAAGAGAUAAGUGCUGA
rnacentral:rRNA from 1 species